ensembl:lncRNA
UCAUUAUACUGGAGAUCAACUAUACUGGAGGACAACUAUACAUGAGGUCAUCCACCUCAACUAUACUGGAGGUCAUCCACCUCAACUAUACUGGAGGUCAUCCAUCUCAACUAUACUGGAGGUCAACUAUACUGGAGGUCAUCAUCGGAGUCUCACUACCUUACUGGAGGUUCAUCCAUCUCAACUAUACUGGAGGUCAAAUAUACUGGAGUCAUCCACCUCUAACUAUACUGGAGGGCUCCAUCUCAACUAUACUGGAGGUCAUCCACCUCAAUUAUACGAUGCGGAUUCCAUCUUCAAACAUACUGGUAGUCAACUACACUGGAGGGGUCAUCACUCUCCACUAUA